rnacentral:rRNA from 1 species
ACGGAGGGUGCGAGUGUUAUUCGGAAUCACUGGGCGUAAAGCGAACGUAGGCGGAUAGGCAAGUAACAUGGGAAAAGAGGGGGCAGAACCUCGGAACUGCAUUUGAUACUGCUUGUCUUGAGUAUGGUAGAGGUGGGUGGAAUUCCCGGUGUAGAGGUGAAAUUCGUAGAUAUCGGGAGGAAUACCUGAGGCGAAGGCGACCCACUGGGCCAUUACUGACGCUGAGGUUCGAAAGCGUGGGUAGCAAACAG